AAUGAACGUUGGCGGCGUGGAUUAGGCAUGCAAGUCGAGCGAGAAAGGUUUUGAAGCUUGCUUUAGAACCUGGACAGCGGCGAAAGGGAGAGUAACGCGUAGUUACCUGCCCCAGGGUCCGGAAUAGCCACGGGAAACUGUGGGUAAUGCCGGAUAAUAUCCCCGGAUCAAAGGUGUGAUUCCGCCCUGGGAGGGGACUGCGUCCUACUAGCUAGUUGGGGGGGGUAAUGGCCCACCAAGGCAACGAUGGGUAGCGGGUGUGAGAGCAUGACCCGUCUCACUGGGACUGAGACACUGCCCAGACACCUACGGGUGGCUGCCGUCGAGAAUCUUCGGCAAUGAGCGCAAGCUUGACCGAGCGAUGCCGCGUGCGGGAUGAAGGCCCUCGGGUUGUAAACCGCUGUCGUAGGGGAGGAAAUCUGACGAGGGUUCUCCCUCGUAGUUGACCUAUCCUAGGAGGAAGUACGGGCUAAGUACGUGCCAGCAGCCGCCGUAAAAC
rnacentral:rRNA from 1 species